rnacentral:hammerhead_ribozyme from 2 species
CCGCGAAACCGUCUCCGCUAAGGAGGCGGUCGUCCCGACGUGGCGGUCGGGGCCUGAUGAGCAGCUUCGG